rnacentral:misc_RNA from 1 species
GUGAAUCAUCAAAUCUUUGAACGCAAAUUGCACUCUCCGCUGAGAGUAUGCCUAUUUGAGGGCCAGCCUAUAAAAAUCGUCAUCGUUGCUGUUUCGCGGUGGCGUUCGUCGGAAAUUGGGUCAUCUUAAAUCCUUUUUAUUUAUGCGAGUUAAACUUUUCUUUUGGUUCCAUGAACGUUUCUAAGAUCUAUUUCUUUACACGUUUAAGGUAUCGUUUUUUAUUAGACGUGGCCGUCAUCUUGUAUCGCGUCCAUAAUUAUUGGCUAACUGA